rnacentral:rRNA from 1 species
AGAGUUUGAUCAUGGCUCAGAACGAACGCUGGUGGCGUGGAUAAGACAUGCAAGUCGAACGGGGCGGCAGCAAUGCCGUUCAGUGGCGGACGGGUGCGUAACACGUGAACAAUCUGCCCGGAAGAUGGGGAUAGCCCAGGGAAACUUGGAUUAAUACCCAGUGUGGCGCAGGCUGGCAUCAGCCUGCUGCCGAAGGUGCUGCAAGGUGCCGCUUCCGGAUGAGUUCGCGGCCUAUCAGCUAGUUGGCGGGGUAACGGCCCACCAAGGCGACGACGGGUAGCUGGUCUGAGAGGAUGACCAGCCACACUGGAACUGAGGCACGGUCCAGACACCUACGGGUGGCAGCAGUCGAGAAUCAUUCACAAUGGGCGAAAGCCUGAUGGUGUGACGCCGCGUGGAGGAUGAAGGUCUUCGGAUUGUAAACUCCUGUCAAGUGGGAGUAAAGCCGGGCAUUAACUGUGUGCCGGUGUGAGAGUAUCACUAGAGGAAGGGACGGCUAACUUCGUGCCAGCAGCCGCGGUAAUACGAAGGUCCCAAGCGUUGUUCGGAAUCACUGGGCGUAAAGGGUGCGUAGGCGGCACGGUAAGUCAGAUGUGAAAGCCCGGGGCUCAACCCCGGAACUGCAUCCGAUACUGCCGUGCUCGAGGACUGGAGAGGAGUCUGGAAUUCACAGUGGAGCAGUGAAAUGCGUAGAUAUUGUGAGGAACACUAGCGGCGAAGGCGAGACUCUGGACAGAUCCUGACGCUGAGGCACGAAGGCCAGGGGAGCAAACGGGAUUAGAUACCCCGGUAGUCCUGGCAGUAAACGGUGCACGCUUGGUGUGGGGGGAUUUGACCCCUCCCGUGCCG